rnacentral:rRNA from 1 species
GAUGAACGCUGGCGGCGUGCCUAAUACAUGCAAGUCGAGCGAAGCGGGGACGGGUGAGUAACACGUGGAUAACCUCCUAUAAGACUGGGAUAACUUCGGGACACCGGAGCUCAACAGGAUGCUUAUAGAUGGAGCCGCGCUGCAUUAGCUAGUUGGUCAGGUAACGGCUUACCAAGGCAACGAGGCAUAGCCGACCGGAGAGGGUGAGCGGCAACACUGGAACGGAGACACGGUCCAGACUCCUACGGGAGGCAUCGGUAGGGAAUCUUCCGCAAUGGGCGAAAGCCUGAAGGAGCAACGCCGCGUGAGUGAUGAAGGUCUUCGGAUCGUAAAACUCUUUUAUUAGGGAAGCGGUACCUAAUCAGAAAGCCACGGCUAACUACGUGCCAGCAGCCGCGGUAAUAC